rnacentral:rRNA from 1 species
UACGUAGGGGGCGAGCGUUGUCCGAAGUUACUGGGCGUAAAGAGCGCGUAGGCGGACCCUUAAGUGAGGGGUGAAAGGUUCGGGCUCAACCCGGAGAGUGCCUUUCAUACUGGCAGACUGGAGGGACUGAGAGGUGAAUGGAAUUCCUGGUGUAGCGGUGAAAUGCGUAGAUAUCAGGAGGAACACCCAUGGCGAAGGCAGUUCACUGGCAGUCUCCUGACGCUGAGGCGCGAAAGCGUGGGUAGCAAACAGG